rnacentral:rRNA from 20 species
CGGGAACUCAAAGGAGACUGCCAGUGAUAAACUGGAGGAAGGUGGGGAUGACGUCAAGUCAUCAUGGCCCUUACGACCAGGGCUACACACGUGCUACAAUGGCGCAUACAAAGAGAAGCGACCUCGCGAGAGCAAGCGGACCUCAUAAAGUGCGUCGUAGUCCGGAUUGGAGUCUGCAACUCGACUCCAUGAAGUCGGAAUCGCUAGUAAUCGUGGAUCAGAAUGCCACGGUGAAUACGUUCCCGGGCCUUGUACACACCGCCCGUCACACCAUGGGAGUGGGUUGCAAAAGAAGUAGGUAGCUUAACCUUCGGGAGGGCGCUUACCACUUUGUGAUUCAUGACUGGGGUGAAGUCGUAACAAGGUAACCGUAGGGGAACCUGCGGUUGGAUCACCUCCUUA